AGUGAACGCUGGCGGUAGGCCUAACACAUGCAAGUCGAACGGCCGCACAGUAAGAGCUUGCUCUUACGGGUGGCGAGUGGCGGACGGGUGAGGAAUACAUCGGAAUCUACUUUUUCGUGGGGGAUAAAGUAGGGAAACUUACGCUAAUACCGCAUACGACCUACGGGUGAAAGCAGGGGAUCUUCGGACUUUGCGCGAUUGAAUGAGCCGAUGUCGGAUUAGCUAGUUGGCGGGGUAAAGGCCCACCAAGGCGACGAUCCGUAGCUGGUCUGAGAGGAUGGUCAGCCACACUGGAACUGAGACACGGUCCAGACUCCUACGGGAGGCAGCAGUGGGGAAUAUUGGACAAUGGGCGCAAGCCUGAUCCAGCCAUACCGCGUGGGUGAAGAAGGCCUUCGGGUUGUAAAGCCCUUUUGUUGGGAAAGAAAAGCAGCAGGUUAAUACCCCGCUGUUCUGACGGUACCCAAAGAAUAAGCACCGGCUAACUUCGUG
rnacentral:rRNA from 1 species